rnacentral:rRNA from 1 species
CCUACGGGAGGCAGCAGUGAGGAAUAUUGGUCAAUGGGCGCAAGCCUGAACCAGCCAUCCCGCGUGAAGGAUGACGGCCCUAUGGGUUGUAAACUUCUUUUAUGUACCAAGAAUAUGCCUUACGUGUAGGGUAUUGACGGUAGUGCAUGAAUAAGCAUCGGCUAACUCCGUGCCAGCAGCCGCGGUAAU